CACACACACACCCAUCAUCCAGCACUCACACACACCCAUCAUCCAGCACUCACUCACACACCCAUCAUCCAGCACACACACACCCAUCAUCCAGCACUCACACACACCCAUCAUCCAGCACACACACACCCAUCAUCCAGCACUCACACACACAUCAUCCAGCACUCUCACACACAUCAUCCAGCACUCACACACACACAUCAUCCAGCACUCUCACACACAUCAUCCAGCACUCACACACACAUCAUCCAGCACUCACACACCCAUCAUCCAGCACUCUCACACACAUCAUCCAGCACUCUCACACACAUCAUCCAGCACUCACACACACAUCAUCCAGCACUCACACACACACAUCAUCCAG